rnacentral:rRNA from 1 species
GACGAACGCUGGCGGCGUGCUUAACACAUGCAAGUCGAACGAAGUGGCGAACGGGUGAGUAACGCGUAAACAACAUGCCCUUCAGAGGGGGACAACAGUUGGAAACGACUGCUAAUACCGCAUACUGAAGGAGGGGAUUGCGUCGGAUUAGCUAGUUGGAGGGGUCACGGCCAACCAAGGCGAUGAUCAGUAGCCGGUCUGAGAGGAGGAACGGCCACAUUGGGACUGAGACACGGCCCAGACUCCUACGGGAGGCAGCAGGUGGGAAUCUUCCGCAAUGGACGAAAGUCUGACGGAGCAACGCCGCGUGAGUGAUGACGGCCUUCGGGUUGUAAAGCUCUGUUAAUCGGGACGCGGUACCGGAAUAGAAAGCCACGGCUAACUACGUGCCAGCAGCCGCGGUAAUUC